rnacentral:rRNA from 1 species
AUUGAACGCUGGCGGCAGGCCUAACACAUGCAAGUCGAGCGCGCGGCGGACGGGUGAGUAAUGUAUGGGGACUGCCCGAUAGAGGGGGAUAACUACUGGAAACUGUGGCUAAUACCGCAUACUAUCGGAUAACCCAUAUGGGAUUAGCUAGUAGGUGGGGUAAAGGCUCACCGAGGCGACGAGCUCUAGCUGGUCUGAGAGGAUGAUCAGCCACACGUGGACUGAGACACGGCCCAGACUCCUACGGAGGCAGCAGUGGGGAAUAUUGCACAAUGGGCGCAAGCCUGAUGCAGCCAUGCCGCGUGUAUGAAGAAGGCCUGAGGGUUGUAAAGUACGUUCAGCGGGGAGGCGUGACCAGCAGAAGAAGCACCGGCUAACUCCGUGCCAGCAGCCGCGGUAAUUC